AGAGUUUGAUCAUGGCUCAGGAUGAACGCUAGCGGCAGGCUUAAUACAUGCAAGUCGAGGGGUAACAUGGGUAGCAAUACCUGAUGACGACCGGCAAACGGGUGCGGAACACGUACGCAACCUUCCCAUAACUGGUGAAUAGCCUUCCGAAAGGGAGAUUAAUACACCGUAACAUAACGAGCAGGCAUCUGCUUGUUAUUAUAGGCUUCGGCCGGUUUUGGAUGGGCGUGCGCCUGAUUAGGUAGUUGGCGGGGUAACGGCCCACCAAGCCUGCGAUCAGUAACUGGUGUGAGAGCACGACCAGUCACACGGGCACUGAGACACGGGCCCGACUCCUACGGGAGGCAGCAGUAAGGAAUAUUGGUCAAUGGACGAAAGUCUGAACCAGCCAUGCCGCGUGAAGGAUGAAGGCCCUCUGGGUUGUAAACUUCUUUUAUCUGGGACGAAAAAAGCUCAUUCUUGAGCACUUGACGGUACCAGAGGAAUAAGCACCGGCUAACUCCGUGCCAGCAGCCGCGGUAAUACGGAGGGUGCAAGCGUUAUCCGGAUUCACUGGGUUUAAAGGGUGCGUAGGUGGGUCUGUAAGUCAGUGGUGAAAUCUCCGAGCUUAACUCGGAAACUGCCAUUGAUACUAUAGAUCUUGAAUCAUCUGGAGGUAAGCGGAAUAUGUCAUGUAGCGGUGAAAUGCUUAGAUAUGACAUAGAACACCAAUUGCGAAGGCAGCUUACUACGGGUGUAUUGACACUGAGGCACGAAAGCGUGGGGAUCAAACAGGAUUAGAUACCCUAGUAGUCC
rnacentral:rRNA from 1 species